GCUUAACACAUGCAAGUCGAGCGGUAAGGCCCUUCGGGGUACACGAGCGGCGAACGGGUGAGUAACACGUGGGUGAUCUGCCUCGCACUCUGGGAUAAGCCUGGGAAACUGGGUCUAAUACCGGAUAUGACCACUAAUCGCAUGGUUGGUGGUGGAAAGAUUUAUCGGUGCGAGAUGGGCCCGCGGCCUAUCAGCUUGUUGGUGGGGUAAUGGCCUACCAAGGCGACGACGGGUAGCCGGCCUGAGAGGGCGACCGGCCACACUGGGACUGAGACACGGCCCAGACUCCUACGGGAGGCAGCAGUGGGGAAUAUUGCACAAUGGGCGGAAGCCUGAUGCAGCGACGCCGCGUGAGGGAUGACGGCCUUCGGGUUGUAAACCUCUUUCGACAGGGACGAAGCGCAAGUGACGGUACCUGUAGAAGAAGCACCGGCCAACUACGUGCCAGCAGCCGCGGUAAUACGUAGGGUGCGAGCGUUGUCCGGAAUUACUGGGCGUAAAGAGCUUGUAGGCGGUUCGUCGCGUCGAUCGUGAAAACGUGCAGCUCAACUGCACGCUUGCGGUCGAUACGGGCGGACUAGAGUACUGCAGGGGAGACUGGAAUUC
rnacentral:rRNA from 1 species